AUGAUGAUGACUCAAUUGAUGAACCAGUAGAAAUCUUUUUUACUGUUCAUCCCUGCUCUGGCCAGAGACUUUCAGAGUCAUUAUUCUAUAAGAUCAUAUAGGAUGUUCUCUUCUCCUACAAAGAGUGAUCGAUUCCUUAUUGACCACUCAUAACCUCCAUGCAUACUUCAUCAAAUCCAGAAUAUCUCACACACAUAUCAAAUUGGCAUGCUAGGAAAUAAACUAAAGUAAGGAAGGAUCCAUAUAUAUAAGGUA
rnacentral:lncRNA from 1 species